UUUACUUAUACAAUUAAAUUAUUUUCCAUACUAUGUUUUAAGUUAUUGAUGAUCUUGCAUUCUCAUAGGUUUCUGUUUACAUAUUAAUAUUAUAGUUAAACUAUGGACAAAAAUUGGAUGAAAAGACCUCGACAUACAAAAGAGUAUGUUGAUGGUGUCAAUGAGUUUUUGAAGUUUGCGUGCGAGAAUUGUGAUACAAAUUCGUCGAUUUGUUGCCCAUGUAGAAAAUGUGGAUUAUGUAAGAUGUUCAUCCUUAUUACGUAAGGCUUUAGGACAAAAUCAAAAUGAGAAUGAAGAGGAAGAUAAAGAUGAAGAAGAGGAAAAUGCUGAAGAGGAAGAAGAUCAAGAGGAAGAUGAAGAAGAGGAAGAGAACGAUGAGGACAAUGAUUGAGGGUUAGGAUUAUAAGUUAGACUAUAAUUGAGACUAUAUUUAUGGUAUUUGUCAUAUAUCGACGUUUGCUCUGUUUGAUGGUAUUUGCAACUUUCCUUAAUUAAGACUAAAUUUAUGGUUAUGACUUAUAUUGAUGUUUGCUCUGUUUUGCUAAGUUGGAAUCAGGACGGAUUAUAAAAGGAUAAGUGCUGGAUUA